rnacentral:rRNA from 1 species
CGGAGCAUGCGGAUUAAUUCGAUGCAACGCGAAGAACUUACCAAGGCUUGACAUAUACGAGAACGCUGCAGAAAUGUAGAACUCUUUGGACACUCGUAAACAGGUGGUGCAUGGUUGUCGUCAGCUCGUGUCGUGAGAUGUUGGGUUAAGUCCCGCAACGAGCGCAACCCUCGUUCUAUGUUGCCAGCACGUAAUGGUGGGAACUCAUGGGAUGCUGCCGGGGUCAACUCGGAGGAAGGUGGGGAUGACGUCAAAUCAUCAUGCCCCUUAUGUCUUGGGCUUCACGCAUGCUACAAUGGCCGGUACAAAGGGCUGCAAUACCGUAAGGUGGAGCGAAUCCCAAAAAGCCGGUCCCAGUUCGGAUUGAGGUCUGCAACUCGACCUCAUGAAGUCGGAGUCGCUAGUAAUCGCAGAUCAGCAACGCUGCGGUGAAUACGUUCCCGGGUCUU